ACACGACUACAUUAGAUACCCCCGUAGUCCUAGCCGUAAACGAUACUCGCUAGGUGUCGGCCACGGUGCGACCGUUGUCGGUGCCGUAGGGAAGCCGUGAAGCGAGCCACCUGGGAAAUACGGCCGCAAGGCUGAAAACUUAAAGGAAUUGGCGGGGAGCACAACAACGGGUGGAGCUUGCGGUUUAAUUGGAUUCAACGCCGGAAAUCUUACCGGGACCGACAGCAACAUGAAGGCCAAGCUGAAGACUUUGCCGGAUUAGCUG
rnacentral:rRNA from 1 species